rnacentral:rRNA from 1 species
GACGAACCGUCCGAACGUUAUUCGGAAUCACUGGGCUUAAAGGGUGCGUAGGCGGCGCGGAAAGUAGGGUGUGAAAGCCCUCGGCUUAACCGAGGAAUUGCGCCCUAAACUACCGUGCUUGAGGAACCUAGAGGUGAGCAGAACUGAUGGUGGAGCGGUGAAAUGCGUUGAUAUCAUCAGGAAUACCGGAGGCGAAGGCGGCUCACUGGGGGUUUUCUGACGCUGAGGAACGAAAGCCAGGGGAGCGAACGGG